UAGGGAAUCUUCCACAAUGGACGCAAGUCUGAUGGAGCAACGCCGCGUGAGUGAAGAAGGCUUUCGGGUCGUAAAACUCUGUUAUUGAAGAAGAACGUGUGUGACAGUAACUGGUCAUGCAGUGACGGUAUUCAAUCAGAAAGUCACGGUCAUAACUACGUGCCAGCAGCCGCGGUAAUACGUAGGUGGCAAGCGUUGUCCGGAUUUAUUGGGCGUAAAGCGAGUGCAGGCGGUCUUUUAAGUCUGAUGUGAAAGCCUUCGGCUUAACCGAAGAAGGGCAUCGGAAACUG
rnacentral:rRNA from 1 species